UACGAAGGGGGCUAGCGUUGUUCGGAUUUACUGGGCGUAAAGCGCACGUAGGCGGAUCGUUAAGUCGGGGGUGAAAUCCUGGAGCUCAACUCCAGAACUGCCUUCGAUACUGGCGAUCUUGAGUCCGGAAGAGGUGAGUGGAACUCCUAGUGUAGAGGUGGAAUUCGUAGAUAUUAGGAAGAACACCAGUGGCGAAGGCGGCUCACUGGUCCGGGUACUGACGCUGAGGUGA
rnacentral:rRNA from 1 species